ACUGCCCCUAGAGGGAUUGCAGGUGUGGCUGCUGUGUCACAUGUGCAUCAGUAGAUGGCAGAGAGGAGAGAGGCUGUAUCUGCACUCAGUGUUCUGACCUGUGAACAUCUGAAUGAUGAGUAGCCUAACACC